AGUACUCUUGUCCAUCUGUUCUCUGUUGUGUGAUCCCAAUCCAGAUGAUCCUUUAGUGCCUGAGAUUGCUCGGAUCUACAAAACAGAUAGAGAAAAAGACAGGGUCUUGUUCUUCAGCCCAGACUGGAGUACAGUGGCACAAUCGUGGCUCACUGCAGUGUCAAACUCAUGGGCUCAAGUGAUCCUCCCACCCCAGCCUCCCCAGUAGCUGGGACUGCUAGUACAUGCCACUACACCUUUCCAGCCUCCCCAGUAGCUGGGACUGCUAGUACAUGCCACUACACCUGGCUAAUUUGUUUUUUUUUUUUUUUUUUUGUAGAGACAGGAUCUCACUAUGUUGCACAGGCUGGUCUCUAAUUCCUGGCCUCAAGCAGGCCUUCUGCCUCAGCCCCCCAAAGUGCUGCUGUUACAGGCAUGAGUUACCGUGCAAGGCCAGCAUACCCACCCCCACCCCCCCCCCUUUUUUUUUUUUUUUUUUUUUGAGGCAGGGUCUUGCUCUGUUGCCCGGACUGGAAUGCAGUGGCACAAUCACAGCUCACUGUAACCUCAACCUCCCAGGCUCAAGUAGUCCUCCCAUCUGAGCUUCCCAAGUAGCUGGGACCACAGGCAGAUGCCAUCACAUCCAGCUAAUUUUUUUUUUUUUGAGACAGAGUCUUGCUCCGUUGCCCAGGUGGAAUGCAGUGGCACAAUCUUGGCUCACUGCAGCCUCUGCCUCCCAGGCUCAAGUGAUUCCUGUGCCUCAGCCUCCUGAGUAGCUGGGAUUACAGGCGCACAUCACCAUGCCUGGCUAAUUUUUGUGUUUUCAGUAGAGACGGGAUUUUGCCAUGUUGGCCAGGCUGGUCUGGAACUCCUGACCUCAAGUGAUCCAGCUGCUCCAGCCUCCCAAAGUGCUGGGAUUACAGGCGUGAGCCACCACACCCGGCCUAGCACCCGUUUUUUAAUAGGAGAAUUAUAGAAUCAUUUGCUCUGCUUACUUUAUUCAAAUGUUCUUCUGAAGCAAUAAACCCAUUCAUUUUGUCAACC
rnacentral:lncRNA from 1 species